UACGAAGGGAGCUAGCGUUGUUCGGAAUCACUGGGCGUAAAGCGCGCGUAGGCGGCUUUGCAAGUCAGGGGUGAAAUCCCACAGCUUAACUGUGGAACUGCCUUUGAAACUGCAAAGCUGGAAUGUGAGAAGGGAUGGCGGAAUUCCUAAUGUAGAGGUGAAAUUCGUAGAUAUUAGGAGGAACACCGGUGGCGAAAGCGGCCAUCUGGAUCACAAUUGACGCUGAAGUGCGAAAGCGUGGGUAGCAAACAGG
rnacentral:rRNA from 1 species